rnacentral:rRNA from 1 species
GAUGAACGCUGGCGGCGUGCCUAAUACAUGCAAGUCGAGCGAACAGACGAGGAGCUUGCUCCUUUGAUGUUAGCGGCGGACGGGUGAGUAACACGUGGGUAACCUACCUAUAAGACUGGGAUAACUUCGGGAAACCGGAGCUAAUACCGGAUAAUAUUUCGAACCGCAUGGUUCGAUAGUGAAAGAUGGCUUUGCUAUCACUUAUAGAUGGACCUGCGCCGUAUUAGCUAGUUGGUAAGGUAACGGCUUACCAAGGCAACGAUACGUAGCCGACCUGAGAGGGUGAUCGGCCACACUGGAACUGAGACACGGUCCAGACUCCUACGGGAGGCAGCAGUAGGGAAUCUUCCGCAAUGGGCGAAAGCCUGACGGAGCAACGCCGCGUGAGUGAUGAAGGUCUUCGGAUCGUAAAACUCUGUUAUUAGGGAAGAACAAACGUGUAAGUAACUGUGCACGUCUUGACGGUACCUAAUCAGAAAGCCACGGCUAACUACGUG